GUGAAAGGCCAAUCAAACCGGGAGAUAGCUGGUUCUCCCCGAAAGCUAUUUAGGUAGCGCCUCGUGAAUUCAUCUCCGGGGGUAGAGCACUGUUUCGGCUAGGGGGCCAUCCCGGCUUACCAACCCGAUGCAAACUGCGAAUACCGGAGAAUGUUAUCACGGGAGACACACGGCGGGUGCUAACGUCCGUCGUGAAGAGGGAAACAACCCAGACCGCCAGCUAAGGUCCCAAAGUCAUGGUUAAGUGGGAAACGAUGUGGGAAGGCCCAGACAGCCAGGAUGUUGGCUUAGAAGCAGCCAUCAUUUAAAGAAAGCGUAAUAGCUCACUGGUCGAGUCGGCCUGCGCGGAAGAUGUAACGGGGCUAAACCAUGCACCGAAGCUGCGGCAGCGAACGUAUCACCCAAGACAACUUUACGGAGUUGACGAUUGACGGAGCGAAGCGACGUCAAAGCGUUCAUUAAAGUCGAGUUGGCUUAGGGAUACGUUCGUUGGGUAGGGGAGCGUUCUGUAAGCCUGUGAAGGUGUGUCGUGAGGCAUGCUGGAGGUAUCAGAAGUGCGAAUGCUGACAUAAGUAACGAUAAAGCGGGUGAAAAGCCCGCUCGCCGGAAGACCAAGGGUUCCUGUCCAACGUUAAUCGGGGCAGGGUGAGUCGACCCCUAAGGCGAGGCCGAAAGGCGUAGUCGAUGGGAAACGGGUUAAUAUUCCCGUACUUGGUGUUACUGCGAAGGGGGGACGGAGAAGGCUAUGUUGGCCGGGCGACGGUUGUCCCGGUUUAAGCGUGUAGGUGUGUGUUCCAGGUAAAUCCGGUUCACUUUAACACUGAGGCGUGACGACGAGGCACUACGGUGCUGAAGCAACAAAUGCCCUGCUUCCAGGAAAAGCCUCUAAGCAUCAGGUAACAUCAAAUCGUACCCCAAACCGACACAGGUGGUCAGGUAGAGAAUACCAAGGCGCUUGAGAGAACUCGGGUGAAGGAACUAGGCAAAAUGGUGCCGUAACUUCGGGAGAAGGCACGCUGACACGUAGGUGAAGUGAUUUACUCAUGGAGCUGAAGUCAGUCGAAGAUACCAGCUGGCUGCAACUGUUUAUUAAAAACACAGCACUGUGCAAACACGAAAGUGGACGUAUACGGUGUGACGCCUGCCCGGUGCCGGAAGGUUAAUUGAUGGGGUCAGCGCAAGCGAAGCUCCUGAUCGAAGCCCCGGUAAACGGCGGCCGUAACUAUAACGGUCCUAAGGUAGCGAAAUUCCUUGUCGGGUAAGUUCCGACCUGCACGAAUGGCGUAAUGAUGGCCAGGCUGUCUCCACCCGAGACUCAGUGAAAUUGAACUCGCUGUGAAGAUGCAGUGUACCCGCGGCAAGACGGAAAGACCCCGUGAACCUUUACUAUAGCUUGACACUGAACAUUGAGCCUUGAUGUGUAGGAUAGGUGGGAGGCUUUGAAGUGUGGACGCCAGUCUGCAUGGAGCCGACCUUGAAAUACCACCCUUUAAUGUUUGAUGUUCUAACGUGGACCCGUAAUCCGGGUUGCGGACAGUGUCUGGUGGGUAGUUUGACUGGGGCGGUCUCCUCCUAAAGAGUAACGGAGGAGCACGAAGGUUGGCUAAUCCUGGUCGGACAUCAGGAGGUUAGUGCAAUGGCAUAAGCCAGCUUGACUGCGAGCGUGACGGCGCGAGCAGGUGCGAAAGCAGGUCAUAGUGAUCCGGUGGUUCUGAAUGGAAGGGCCAUCGCUCAACGGAUAAAAGGUACUCCGGGGAUAACAGGCUGAUACCGCCCAAGAGUUCAUAUCGACGGCGGUGUUUGGCACCUCGAUGUCGGCUCAUCACAUCCUGGGGCUGAAGUAGGUCCCAAGGGUAUGGCUGUUCGCCAUUUAAAGUGGUACGCGAGCUGGGUUUAGAACGUCGUGAGACAGUUCGGUCCCUAUCUGCCGUGGGCGCUGGAGAACUGAGGGGGGCUGCUCCUAGUACGAGAGGACCGGAGUGGACGCAUCACUGGUGUUCGGGUUGUCAUGCCAAUGGCACUGCCCGGUAGCUAAAUGCGGAAGAGAUAAGUGCUGAAAGCAUCUAAGCACGAAACUUGCCCCGAGAUGAGUUCUCCCUGAGACUUAGAGUCUCCUGAAGGAACGUUGAAGACGACGACGUUGAUAGGCCGGGUGUGUAAGCGCAGCGAUGCGUUGAGCUAACCGGUACUAAUGAACCGUGAGGCUUAACCUUACA
rnacentral:rRNA from 1 species